rnacentral:rRNA from 1 species
AGAGUUUGAUCCUGGCUCAGAGCGAACGUUAGCGGCGCGCUUAACACAUGCAAGUCGAACGAGAACGCUCCUUCGGGAGUUAUUAAAGUGGCGCACGGGUGAGGAACGCGUAGGUAAUCUACCCUCCGGCGGGGGACAACAUUCCGAAAGGAAUGCUAAUACCGCGUAAGACCACGCUUACUACGGUGAGAGUGGUAAAAGGCGCCCCAAAGCGCCACCAGAGGAUGAGCCUGCGUCCCAUCAGCUUGUUGGUGAGGUAAUGGCUUACCAAGGCGAAGACGGGUAGCUGGUCUGAGAGGAUGAUCAGCCACACUGGCACUGGAACACGGGCCAGACUCCUACGGGAGGCAGCAGUGAGGAAUAUUGGGCAAUGGGCGAAAGCCUGACCCAGCCACGCCGCGUGUGUGAUGAAGGCCUUCGGGUCGUAAAGCACUGUGGGGAGAGACGAACAUGCGCAGGAGGAAAUGCUUGCGCACUGACGGUACCUCCUUAGCAAGCACCGGCUAACUCUGUGCCAGCAGCCGCGGUAAUACAGAGGGUGCAAACGUUGCUCGGAUUUACUGGGCGUAAAGCGCGUGUAGGCGGACUCGCAAGUCGGUUGUGAAAUCCCUGGGCUCAACCUAGGAACUGCAUCCGAAACUGCUUGUCUUGAGUAAUGGAGAGGGUGGCGGAAUUCCCGGUGUAGCGGUGAAAUGCGUAGAGAUCGGAAGGAACAUCAGUGGCGAAGGCGGCUAUCUGGACCAAUACUGACGCUGAGGUGCGAAAGCGUGGAGCAAACAGGAUUAGAUACCCUGGUAGUCCACGCCGUAAACGAUGUCAACUAGCCGUUGGAGGGCUUGUCCCUUUAGUGGCGCAGCUAACGCGAUAAGUUGACCGCCUGGGGAGUACGGCCGCAAGGUUAAAACUCAAAUGAAUUGACGGGGGCCCGCACAAGCGGUGGAGCAUGUGGUUUAAUUCGAUGCAACGCGAAGAACCUUACCAGGUCUUGACAUCCCGAGAAUUUACUAGAGAUAGUUUAGUGCCUUCGGGAACUCGGUGACAGGUGCUGCAUGGCUGUCGUCAGCUCGUGUCGUGAGAUUUGGGUUAAGUCCCGUAACGAGCGCAACCCUUGUCCUUAGGUUGCCAGCACGUAAUGGUGGGAACUCUAAGGAGACUGCCGGUGACAAACCGGAGGAAGGUGGGGACGACGUCAAGUCAUCAUGGCCCUUACGACCUGGGCUACACACGUGCUACAAUGGUCGGUACAGAGGGUUGCCAAGCCGCGAGGUGGAGCUAAUCCCAGAAAACCGAUCGUAGUCCGGAUUGGAGUCUGCAACUCGACUCCAUGAAGUCGGAAUCGCUAGUAAUCGCGAAUCAGAAUGUCGCGGUGAAUAAGUUCCCGGGCCUUGUAAACACCGACCGUCACACCAUGGGAGUGGGUUGUAAAAGAAGUGGGUAGACUAACCUUCGGGAGGUCUCUCACCACUUUGUGAUUCAUGACUGGGGUGAAGGCGUAACCAGGUAGCC